rnacentral:rRNA from 1 species
UACGGGGGGAGCAAGCGUUGUUCGGAUUUACUGGGCGUAAAGGGCGCGUAGGCGGCGUGACAAGUCACUUGUGAAAUCUCCGGGCUUAACUCGGAACGGUCAAGUGAUACUGUCGUGCUAGAGUACAGAAGGGGCAACUGGAAUUCUCGGUGUAGCGGUGAAAUGCGUAGAUAUCGAGAUGAACACCUGCGGCGAAGGCGGGUUGCUGGGCUGAUACUGACGCUGAGGCGCGAAAGCCAGGGGAGCGAACAGG